rnacentral:rRNA from 1 species
UACGUAGGGUGCGAGCGUUGUCCGGAAUUAUUGGGCGUAAAGGGCUCGUAGGCGGUCUGUCACGUCGGGAGUGAAAACUCAGGGCUUAACCCUGAGCCUGCUCCCGAUACGGGCAGACUAGAGGUAUGCAGGGGAGAACGGAAUUCCUGGUGUAGCGGUGAAAUGCGCAGAUAUCAGGAGGAACACCGGUGGCGAAGGCGGUUCUCUGGGCAUUACCUGACGCUGAGGAGCGAAAGUGUGGGGAGCGAACAGG